rnacentral:rRNA from 1 species
CAACCUGCCGAUGACUCGGGGAUAGCCUUUCGAAAGAAAGAUUAAUACCCGAUGGCAUAAUUCUUCCGCAUGGUAGAACUAUUAAAGAAUUUCGGUCAUCGAUGGGGAUGCGUUCCAUUAGGUUGUUGGCGGGGUAACGGCUCACCAAGCCUUCGAUGGAUAGGGGUUCUGAGAGGAAGGUCCCCCACAUUGGAACUGAGACACGGUCCAAACUCCUACGGGAGGCAGCAGUGAGGAAUAUUGGUCAAUGGACGAGAGUCUGAACCAGCCAAGUAGCGUGAAGGAUGACUGCCCUAUGGGUUGUAAACUUCUUUUAUACGGGAAUAAAGUGAGGCUCGUGUGCCUUUUUGUAUGUACCGUAUGAAUAAGGAUCGGCUAACUCCGUGCCAGCAGCCGCGGUAAUACGGAGGAUCCGAGCGUUAUCCGGAUUUAUUGGGUUAAAAGGGAGCGUAGGCGGACGCUUAAGUCAGUUGUGAAAGUUUGCGGCUCAACCGUAAAAUUGCAGUUGAUACUGGGUGUCUUGAGUACAGUAGAGGCAGGCGGAAUUCGUGGUGUAGCGGUGAAAUGCUUAGAUAUCACGAAGAACUCCGAUUG